rnacentral:rRNA from 1 species
GACGAACGCUGGCGGCGUGCUUAACACAUGCAAGUCGAGCGGUAAGGCCCUUUCGGGGGUACACGAGCGGCGAACGGGUGAGUAACACGUGGGUGACCUGCCCUCAGCUCUGGGAUAAGCCUGGGAAACCGGGUCUAAUACUGGAUAUGACUCCAUGACGCAUGUUGUGGGGUGAAAGCCUUGUGCGGCUGAGGAUGGGCCCGCGGCCUAUCAGCUUGUUGGUGGGGUGANGGCCUACCAAGGCGACGACGGGUAGCCGGCCUGAGAGGGCGACCGGCCACACUGGGACUGAGACACGGCCCAGACUCCGUACGGGAGGCAGCAGGUGGGGAAUCUUGCGCAAUGGGCGAAAGCCUGACGCAGCGACGCCGCGUGAGGGAUGAC